CUAAAACUCCUUUUGGAGAAAUCUGAAUGCUUUCUCUUGCUAAUCUGCCUUUUGUUACAGCAACCUAGCAAUGGAUGAAGAAGGAUAUUUCUCAUCCUGUGGUGGCCCCCGAAGGCCCAAAUCAUCCAACUCCUUUGACCUCAUCUCCGCAUGCACCCCUGUGUGGGGGGCAAAAGAUAAUUCUCUGUCUACCCCGUGGUUCCUAACCAGGACUCUGCAUAACAAAGGACAGAUUAACAAGAGACAGAUAGAAGGUCAUUAACAUGUCCCUCGGGCAGGCACGGAAGAAACCCCGAGAAAGGAGUAACUCAGGAGAGUAGAUCUCAGGGACCGUUUAAACUUCAGACCUAACCACCCUCAUUUUCUGAAACAGAGCAGAAAUGGAAAAAGCCUUGGAGCUGGCAGGACGGGGCCCCUGGGACAAAGGUCAGGCUGUGUACAGACUGAGGUCACUGUCUGCUUCCCUCCCUCCCUGGUACAGAGGGACCCUCACAGACUGGACGUCCAGCACAGGUGUAAGUUUCUCUUAGAAAAGAGUGACUUUUCAGCCUUACCCCAUGUGUCUGCAGUUUCUCAGAACAACCAGCUCAAAACAACCAUUAUGCCACAGAGUGUGGUCUACAGUCAUAUUCUGGGGUGCCGCACCCCUCACGAGACCCACGGCCGCCUUCCAGAGCCUCACGUUCACCGUGCGUCUCCCCACCGCACAGUCUUCCUGCGCAGAGCUCGCUGGCCGCAGCCCUCUCCGUAACUCACGUCCUCCGGCCGGUCUUGCCCAGCUGUCAGCGCCUGUCAUCCAUGUCCCUGCCUUUCAUCACAUGGCGGUUUCCAGUUCUCCCCAC
rnacentral:lncRNA from 1 species